rnacentral:rRNA from 1 species
GACGAACGCUGGCGGCGUGCUUAACACAUGCAAGUCGAACGGAAAGGCCCUGCUUUUGUGGGGUGCUCGAGUGGCGAACGGGUGAGUAACACGUGAGUAACCUGCCCUUGACUUUGGGAUAACUUCAGGAAACUGGGGCUAAUACCGGAUAGGAGCUCCUGCUGCAUGGUGGGGGUUGGAAAGUUUCGGCGGUUGGGGAUGGACUCGCGGCUUAUCAGCUUGUUGGUGGGGUAGUGGCUUACCAAGGGUUUGACGGGUAGCCGGCCUGAGAGGGUGACCGGGCACAUUGGGACUGAGAUACGGCCCAGACGCCUACGGGAGGCAGCAGUGGGGAGUAUGGCAGAAUGGGGGGAAGCCUGAUGCAGCAACGCCGCGUGCGGGAUGACGGCCUUCGGGUUGUAAACCGAUUUCGCCUGUGACGAAGCGUGAGUGACGGUAAUGGGUAAAGAAGCACCGGCUAACUACGUG